rnacentral:lncRNA from 1 species
CUUUUUUUUUUUUUUUUUUUAAUUUACUAGUUCCUACAUUAAUUUUUCUCUUCUGUGUUUAAAGCCUACAAAAAAGUAUUCUCAUUGACUGUACUUGUAUAGUAAUGAGCUCUUCUGGAUCAGAGUCUGGAGAUACAGAAAUAUCCCUGGCACAAGAAUGGAAAACAUGUUUACUCUAGAUGCAAAAUAAGUUGUAAAAAGUUUUUAUUUUAUUUUUUAACUUGCACUCACUCCCAAAGCCAAUGAAGUUGCAGAAUACUUCAGGAAGUUGAAAGUAGUGUUACAGUAGAAGGAAAAAAAAAUAGAAAGAAAGAAAAGCAACUCUUAUGAACUGAGACUAAUAUGAACUAAGAAGUAAUUUGCACUGAAACCUUACACUGGAGUGAAGAUGCAAGUUAGGUUAUAUUCAGAUUACUCAUGAGGAAUUAUGAACAAAACCCAAUGGGAAAAUGCAAUCCUAAUCAGCUGGAUAUACCCAUAUGAUACCAGUCCUGAGGUACCCAAACCUUCUUCUUGGGUCCACAUCUAAGUGUUAAUUCCUCUCUACCAAAAAAAGAAACCAACCAACCAAUCCCCCCCCAACAUAUUGCUACAGCUCUCACAUUCAGUCAAGACUGGAUCCAGUUUCCAGCAAAGACCAGUUUCACAGGUAAGAACCACAACAUCAGCUAGAAAAUAAAUAAAAAAAUAAACAAACAGGCAAAUAACUAACUAACUAACCAACUAAAUUAAUUACUGCAUGUGAAACACCUUAUUUAACUCUAGAACUUACUCUCUGAUGAAAAUGGAGUUUUAUAUGCCAAAUACUUGGCAAAAACUAUACUGGCGAAAAUUAUGCAAUUAUUGUUGGCGAUGCCUCUCUGGCACUUGAAAAGAAAUGCAGGACUUCCUGCAGUUUGAAGAGAGGUUAGAUCCCUUAUCUGUGCCACAGGAAUGUGACAUGAUAGUUCUUAUACAAACAUGUAAGUCCAGGCUUUGACAAUGCCUCCUGAGAAAUACCCAGUAACUUAUUUUUAGCACAAACACGAAGUAUAGGGACAACUGUGAGAGAUCAUUACCUGAAAUUUAGUAAAGACUUGGCAAAACAGUCAUAAAAAAAACCAAAAAAACAACUACUGGUCAGUCUGCCCAAAGUCAUACAGAUGCACUUGGGUCAAAGCAGCUGAAACUAAUUUGCUUUUCUCUUUGAUGGCCAUUAAACCUUAGUUAUGCUCCACUGAUUAGUUGAUCUAAUGGAGAGGUCAAUUUUCAUGAAAAGUGGUGGAUAGAAGAGCUAAGGAGAUGGGUCAUUUUUCAUUCAUGUAUUUGGCUUUGGCUUUAAAAGAAAUUGUCUUGCAAGAAGACUGAGAUAAAUACAGAAAAGUUUAAUUAAUGUUCUAACCUUUUUCCUCAUAAACUUCAACUCUAUCACACUAUUAUGCUUUGAUUAAUCUCAAAGAAAUAACCCCAGAAAAAAAAACAGGCUUAUGUCUGGAGUAAUCACAAUCAGAGUACAACAAAUAAUAUGCUGGCCAGUAAUUUAUCAAACAUCCCAUUUGAACUUCAAAAACUUUUUCCCAAGCUCAUCUUCUUGCCAAGCUCUGCUAGAUCCCCAGGAGAAAGGGAGAGGAAUGGUUUCCAGGGAUAUGUAGCAAGGGAUCCUUUCCAUCUUGAUAAUUGUGAGUUCUCUUACCCAGGGAUUAGGUACAGACUUUGUACACUGUUGCAGAAGAAGGAAUUUGGCUCUUCAAAUGGAUUUGAGAACCCACAAGUCAAAUAGUUCUUUUAUGCCAAUUUCACCAGCUUCUGUUUUAAAGAUACAAAUUCAAAUUUGGAUAUUUAAUUUAGCAAAAAAGCUAGAUAUAUUUUCUGAGAUCCAAGUAAAUGGCAAUUUGAGGUUUAAAAAAAAAACAUAGAUCUUUGAACUAUCAAAUAAAUUAAAGGAGUAUUUUAUAAUUAAACAUGUAUUUUGCCAAGGACAGAGUGACAGAAACAACUGAGUAGCACUCCUCUGCAAACAUUUCUGCUCUAGAUGACUGUAUCUACAAAACUAAAAAUUUGUGAGAUUUUUUUCUCUGAAUGAAAUGUCAGUGAUAAACUAGGAUAAAAGUCAGUAUGUAGCUAAAAGGCUCUUAUUAUGUUCCAUUUAACUGUCAUCACUCAGUAAUUGCAAAUACAAAUUACUGUAGCUUUACAGUCACCAAUCUGAGAUUAAAUACUUGGGAAAACUUCUGAAUGGACAUGCCAAAGUAAAUGGUCUCUGCCCUAGUUUCCUAAUAAUUUAGGCAUUGAAAUGCUGGGACAGAACAGAAUGGGGUGGAUUGACAAAUCUGGUACAGGGAAAGAAAAUGAAUUUGCUAGGCAAUACCAAAUCAUAAAUUGUCACUUAAUCAUCAAAGGACAUGUGGGGAACCCCUCAAAGGCGCAGACUACGCAUGUGGAAGUGUCCUAGUGCUGUACAUUAUGGCCUGUAUUUGUCAGGAUUUGAAAGCUCGACAGACUUUUUCUCCAUAUGUGUUACUUAACUGGGAACCAUGAUUUUCAAGACAAAUACAGUAUUUCAUAAAAAACACAGGAAUGAAGGAGCACUCUGGACACAUCAAUUUCUUAUAGCAAAUUUAAUCUCCCCCUUGAAAUGUUCACAUGAAGCACCACAUGGGUGCAGAGGCACACACAAAAGAAACCCUGGCAGAACAGUCUCCCACCUGCUUUGCUGAGGAGGGGAUGAUAAAGAAUAUUAGCUACAGGUGACAUAAUAGCCCUGCUGUUUUGGACACUCUUCGAAAGUGUCUUGAUACAGAAAUGGUAAGAAAGCUAGAAUUGACAAGAAUAGCAUGACUGGUAAAAAUAUGCUUAAGGAGGAAUAUGAGAUGAAUAAGAUAGAGGAGGUUUGGAAAAGGGAUACCAAAAUAAUCCAGUUUGGCUCAGCAUCCUUGGCAUUCAGGGGCACCCUGCUCCUGCCUGGAGAGGUAGUCACCACCCAUCCAGGCUGCUCUGCUUUCCAAAAAAGUGUGAAUUGGGCUUUUGAAACCAAACCACCUGGAAUUUGUAUCUGUAAUUUUAAUUGACUGAGAGACCCUUAAAGAGAGGGAGCUAAGCACAGCCUGCAGGUACACAAUGCCCGACAGCCAGUGUUAACAAGGAUAUACUUAGCUUGCCUGGAGAAACAAACAAGGACAGAAUUGAUAACUAUUUCAUGAAUGAGCUGUAACAUGUUGCUUUAAAAAGAUGCUGCCAGAAGAAAGAUACAAACAAAACAACACAUGUUAUUGAAGGGCAGUUGUUAUUAUCGGGACUAUUAGCAAAUGGAAAAAACUAUUAAAGCAGAAACAGUGUUAGAAAUCUAAUUCACUUUUCAGCAUUAAUGCUAUUUACUGCUUCACUCUUCUCUUAAGUU